UGGACAAAGAUGUAGUUUAAGUUAUG
rnacentral:piRNA from 1 species